rnacentral:rRNA from 1 species
GUGGGGAAUAUUGCACAAUGGGCGCAAGCCUGAUGCAGCAACGCCGCGUGAGGGAUGACGGCCUUCGGGUUGUAAACCUCUUUUAGUAGGGAAGAAGCGAAAGUGACGGUACCUGCAGAAAAAGCACCGGCUAACUACGUGCCAGCAGCCGCGGUAAUACGUAGGGUGCAAGCGUUGUCCGGAAUUAUUGGGCGUAAAGAGCUCGUAGGCUGCUUGUCGCGUCUGCUGUGAAAUCCCGGGGCUCAACCCCGGGCCUGCAGUGGGUACGGGCAGGCUAGAGUGCGGUAGGGGAGAUUGGAAUUCCUGGUGUAGCGGUGGAAUGCGCAGAUAUCAGGAGGAACACCGAUGGCGAAGGCAGAUCUCUGGGCCGCUACUGACGCUGAGGAGCGAAAGCAUGGGGAGCGAACAGGAUUAGAUACCCGUGUAGUCC